rnacentral:lncRNA from 1 species
CGCACGUAGGGCCUUUUGAGGGGGUUUUGAUAAAGGCCUCACUGAACCGAAUUUCUUUUUUUGUGAGCUGAUGGCUGAUCUGAUCCCGUAGCUGGAAGACUGCAAGGAACAAGCUGCUGCAAGCCAAGGAUUCAGGGAGCCCGUUGGGACUGGGAGCCCAUUCAAAUCGGGAGAGAGCACCCACAGGGGAAGUUUGGGUCCAGCUGCCCGCAGCCCAGGGAAAUGAGGGGACCAGGGCUGGCGGGGCUGCCGGGGGAGGCGGGUGCGCUGACACAGGCCGGCGUCCAGACGGGGAGCAGGAGGCUGGGGGCCGCCGAGCGGGCUCGGUCUGGUCCUGCAGGAAACGUCGGAGGCAACAGCCUGGUGAGAGCAGAGGAGAGCGCUGUGCUGUGUGGGCAGGAUGCUUUUCCUGGGUGAGACCCAGGAGCCUAGGGAAAUACGCAUAAUGAAGGUCUCUGUUGGCUGCCAGUCUGUACACAGCUUCCUGCUCCCCACAGCCCACCU